GGAAUAUUGGACAAUGGGCGCAAGCCUGAUCCAGCCAUGCCGCGUGUGUGAAGAAGGCCUUCGGGUUGUAAAGCACUUUUAUCCGGAAAGAAAAGCGCUGGGUUAACACCCUGGUGUCCUGACGGUACCGGAAGAAUAAGCACCGGCUAACUUCGUGCCAGCAGCCGCGGUAAUACGAAGGGUGCAAGCGUUACUCGGAAUUACUGGGCGUAAAGCGUGCGUAGGUGGUUUGUUAAGUCUGAUGUGAAAGCCCUGGGCUCAACCUGGGAAUUGCAUUGGAUACUGACAGGCUAGAGUGCGGUAGAGGGUAGUGGAAUUCCCGGUGUAGCAGUGAGAUGCGUAGAGAUCGGGAGGAACAUCUGUGGCGAAGGCGACUACCUGGACCAGCACUGACACUGAGGCACGAAAGCGUGGGGAGCAAACAGGAUUAGAUACCCGGG
rnacentral:rRNA from 1 species